GACAGAGGUGCCAAGCGUUAGGCGGAAUCACUGGGCUUAAAGCGUGUGUAGGCGGAAUGGUAAGUACCUUGUGAAAUCCCACGGCUCAACCGUGGAACUGCUCGGUAUACUGCUUUUCUUGAGCCACUUAGGGGCUGUCGGAACAAACGGUGGAGCGGUGAAAUGCGUAGAGAUCGGAAAGAACACCAACGGCGAAAGCACUCUGCUGGGCCGACACUGACACUGAGAGACGAAAGCUAGGGGAGCGAAUGGG
rnacentral:rRNA from 1 species